GACGAACGCUGGCGGCGUGCUUAACACAUGCAAGUCGAACGGUAAGGCUCUUCGGAGUACACGAGUGGCGAACGGGUGAGUAACACGUGAGCAACCUGCCCUUGACUCUGGGAUAACAGUUGGAAACAGCUGCUAAUACCGGAUAUGACCCCACCAGACAUCUGGUGGGGUGGAAAGCUCCGGCGGUCAAGGAUGGGCUCGCGGCCUAUCAGCUAGUUGGUGAGGUAACGGCUCACCAAGGCUUCGACGGGUAGCCGGCCUGAGAGGGCGACCGGCCACACUGGGACUGAGAUACGGCCCAGACUCCUACGGGAGGCAGCAGUGGGGAAUAUUGCACAAUGGGCGCAAGCCUGAUGCAGCAACGCCGCGUGCGGGAUGACGGCCUUCGGGUUGUAAACCGCUUUCACCCAUGACGAAGCGCAAGUGACGGUAGUGGGAGAAGAAGGACCGGCUAACUACGUGCCAGCCGCCGCAGUAAGAC
rnacentral:rRNA from 1 species